AAGAGAAAUUUUAGGAAUGAUUUCGUUUGAAAUAAUGGUGGAGUUAAUAUAGAGAGAUUUUAGGCAAUAUUUUUGUUAGGUAAAUAUUUGAUUUAAAAUUUCUGCAUAAAUUCAGUGGCAUUGAGUCGUAAAUAAGUCCAAGUCCAAGAUUUAUUUGUUAAAAUGGCUGCAAAAAUGUAUAUAUAGAUUUGCCUCAUAAUCAAAACCUUUUUACUGCUUAAAAACAAAACAAAAAAAAUCCUUUUAAAA
rnacentral:sRNA from 1 species